GGUGUAUAGUUAAUAGCAUUACACUGUGACGUUAGCUACAGAAGAAGCACCGGCAAACUCCGUGCCAGCAGCCGCGGUAAUACGGAGGGUGCGAGCGUUAAUCGGAAUUACUGGGCGUAAAGCGCGCGUAGGCGGUUAUUUAAGUGAGGUGUGAAAUCCCUGGGCUCAACCUAGGAACUGCAUUUCAAACUGGAUAACUUGAGUAUGUCAGAGGGUAUUGGAAUUUCCCCGUGUAGCAGUGAAAAUGCGUAGAUAUGGGAAGGAACAUCAGUGGCGAAGGCGAAUACCUGGGAUAAUACUGACGCUGAGGUGCGAAAGCGUGGGGAGCAAACGGGAUUAGAUACCCUGGUAG
rnacentral:rRNA from 1 species